UACGUAGGGUGCAAGCGUUAAUCGGAAUUACUGGGCGUAAAGCGUGCGCAGGCGGUUAUGCAAGACAGAUGUGAAAUCCCCGGGCUCAACCUGGGAACUGCAUUUGUGACUGCAUGGCUGGAGUGCGGCAGAGGGGGAUGGAAUUCCGCGUGUAGCAGUGAAAUGCGUAGAUAUGCGGAGGAACCCCGAUGGCGAAGGCAAUCCCCUGGGCCUGCACUGACGCUCAUGCACGAAAGCGUGGGGAGCAAACAGG
rnacentral:rRNA from 1 species